AUAUCAUGCUGUAACACCGGUUCUCAUACGAUCACCAAAGUUAAGCAAUGUCGAGCCUGGUCAGUAUCUAGAUAGGUGACUGCUAGAGAAUACUAGUACUGUA